CGCCAUCUGUGGGGGAAAAGUGGAACUAAUGGUAAAUCGAUUAUUUAAGCAAUCUUCUGUAAUUGAUUAAUCAUAAUUAUGCAACGCUUGCGCGGAUAGAUACACAACGUGAAUAUUUAUUGAAUGUGUUUACAUAUCGUCGUAGGUUAUCGACAGCAAACAAAUUCUUUGGCCGAGGGGCAUUUAAAAAUAAGUAAACAAUUUCUGAAAUGUAUAUUUAUGUGUCACAAAAGCGUGGGUGUUGAAAUGUUCCGAAACAGGCCCACAAAGAGACAUUAAGAAAGUCUCGUUAACAUGCACGCGAGAUUCAGUACUUAAGGAAAAGCGUCAUCCAAGGGUCAACAGGGUGCAAUUUAUACACCUGCACUAGUCAGCAGGCAAAACCUUUUUGUUCAAGGAACUAAACAAAUAUUUUGUAAUAUGGAGACGUAUAUGUUGUACAAACUAUAAAAGUUGUGCUCCAUAGUAUGCAUCUGCUCGUACUUGUCGUGACGCAUUUUAUUUUUUGGCACACUUACCAUUUCUCAAUUAAAUCAAAGCAUUUUAAAGAAUUGUGGUUUUAAUGAACCCACUGCCAAUAUAUAGGAAACAUUUUACAAUUUAAAUUAUAUAGACGGGUAUUAUAUUAUAAAGAAGACAUUUCAACCGACACCUAUCGUAAAGAUGCUGAACUCAAAUUGCCAUGCAAAUGGUUUAUGCUUUGGACCUUGAAUGAAGUGCAUGGUGGGAUUUUGUCAGUCAAAUCGAAUUUGUACUAAGAAGACCUUGCCAUUGUUGUGGCUUUUGACAACUUUCAAGUUUGUUUCAAGGCCAAAAAGCGGGAGCUCUGGAAAACCAUUGUUUUACAAUUAUUUUUCACUGCACUUUUACGAUCAUUUUAUAAGCUACUACAAUGUAUUUGUGUACAAGUUAUUAGAAAGAAAUAAUGUAAUUUUACACAUUAAAUAUUUCUGUACGACACCCCAUUCAAUAACUAUAAGUUCUUG